rnacentral:rRNA from 1 species
UACGUAGGUGGCGAGCGUUAUCCGGAUUUACUGGGCGUAAAGGGUGUGCAGGCUGCCCCUCAAGUGGUGUAUGAAAGGGCUCGGCUCAACCGGGCUAGGUUAUGCCAGACUGAGGGGCUAGAGAGCGAGAGCGGGACGUGGAAUUCCGGGUGUAGUGGUGAAAUGCGUAGAGAUCCGGAGGAACACCAGUGGCGAAGGCGGCUCGCUGGACCUGACCUGACGCUGAGGCGCGAAGGCGUGGGGAGCGAACGGG